rnacentral:rRNA from 1 species
CUGCGGCAGCGAACGUAUCACUUAAAGCGAUUCAGCGGAUGACGAUUGACGGAGCGAAGCGACGUCAAAGCGUAUACAAAGUCGAGUCGGUUUAAGGAUACGUUCGUUGGGUAGGGGAGCGUUCUGUAAGCCUGCGAAGGUGGCCUGUGAGGGUUGCUGGAGGUAUCAGAAGUGCGAAUGCUGACAUAAGUAACGAUAAAGCGGGUGAAAAGCCCGCUCGCCGGAAGACCAAGGGUUCCUGUCCAACGUUAAUCGGGGCAGGGUGAGUCGACCCCUAAGGCGAGGCCGAAAGGCGUAGUCGAUGGGAAACGGGUUAAUAUUCCCGUACUUGGUGUUACUGCGAAGGGGGGACGGAGAAGGCUAUGUUGGCCGGGCGACGGUUGUCCCGGUUUAAGCGUGUAGGUGUGUGUUCCAGGUAAAUCCGGUUCACUUUAACACUGAGGCGUGACGACGAGGCACUACGGUGCUGAAGCAACAAAUGCCCUGCUUCCAGGAAAAGCCUCUAAGCAUCAGGUAACAUCAAAUCGUACCCCAAACCGACACAGGUGGUCAGGUAGAGAAUACCAAGGCGCUUGAGAGAACUCGGGUGAAGGAACUAGGCAAAAUGGUGCCGUAACUUCGGGAGAAGGCACGCUGACAUGUAGGUGAAGUGAUUUACUCAUGGAGCUGAAGUCAGUCGAAGAUACCAGCUGGCUGCAACUGUUUAUUAAAAACACAGCACUGUGCAAACACGAAAGUGGACGUAUACGGUGUGACGCCUGCCCGGUGCCGGAAGGUUAAUUGAUGGGGUCAGCGCAAGCGAAGCUCCUGAUCGAAGCCCCGGUAAACGGCGGCCGUAACUAUAACGGUCCUAAGGUAGCGAAAUUCCUUGUCGGGUAAGUUCCGACCUGCACGAAUGGCGUAAUGAUGGCCAGGCUGUCUCCACCCGAGACUCAGUGAAAUUGAACUCGCUGUGAAGAUGCAGUGUACCCGCGGCAAGACGGAAAGACCCCGUGAACCUUUACUAUAGCUUGACACUGAACAUUGAGCCUUGAUGUGUAGGAUAGGUGGGAGGCUUUGAAGUGUGGACGCCAGUCUGCAUGGAGCCGACCUUGAAAUACCACCCUUUAAUGUUUGAUGUUCUAACGUGGACCCGUAAUCCGGGUUGCGGACAGUGUCUGGUGGGUAGUUUGACUGGGGCGGUCUCCUCCUAAAGAGUAACGGAGGAGCACGAAGGUUGGCUAAUCCUGGUCGGACAUCAGGAGGUUAGUGCAAUGGCAUAAGCCAGCUUGACUGCGAGCGUGACGGCGCGAGCAGGUGCGAAAGCAGGUCAUAGUGAUCCGGUGGUUCUGAAUGGAAGGGCCAUCGCUCAACGGAUAAAAGGUACUCCGGGGAUAACAGGCUGAUACCGCCCAAGAGUUCAUAUCGACGGCGGUGUUUGGCACCUCGAUGUCGGCUCAUCACAUCCUGGGGCUGAAGUAGGUCCCAAGGGUAUGGCUGUUCGCCAUUUAAAGUGGUACGCGAGCUGGGUUUAGAACGUCGUGAGACAGUUCGGUCCCUAUCUGCCGUGGGCGCUGGAGAACUGAGGGGGGCUGCUCCUAGUACGAGAGGACCGGAGUGGACGCAUCACUGGUGUUCGGGUUGUCAUGCCAAUGGCACUGCCCGGUAGCUAAAUGCGGAAGAGAUAAGUGCUGAAAGCAUCUAAGCACGAAACUUGCCCCGAGA